UACGAAGGGGGCAAGCGUUGUUCGGAAUUAUUGGGCGUAAAGGGAGCGUAGGCGGUUCGGCAAGUCUUUAGUGAAAUCUCUGGGCUCAACUCAGAGUCUGCUGGAGAAACUGCCGGGCUGGAGUAUGGGAGAGGUGAGUGGAAUUCCCGGUGUAGCGGUGAAAUGCGUAGAUAUCGGGGGGAACACCAGUGGCGAAGGCGAUCAUCUGGGGCUGACCUGACGCUGAGGAGCGAAAGCCAGGGGAGCAAACGGG
rnacentral:rRNA from 1 species